rnacentral:rRNA from 1 species
ACUCCUACGGGAGGCAGCAGUGGGGAAUAUUGCACAAUGGGGAAACCCUGAUGCAGCCAUGCCGCGUGUGUGAAGAAGGCCUUCGGUUGUAAAGCACUUUCAGUAGGGAGGAAGGUAGUGUAGUUAACACCUGCAUUAUUUGACGUUACCUACAGAAGAAGCACCGGCUAACUCCGUGCCAGCAGCCGCGGUAAUACGGAGGGGUGCGAGCGUUAAUCGGAAUUACUGGGCGUAAAGACGCAUGCAGGCGGCCUGUUAAGUCAGAUGUGAAAGCCCGGGGGCUUAACCUCGGAAUUGCAUUUGAAACUGGCAGGCUAGAGUCUUGUAGAGGGGGUAGGAAUUUCAGGUGUAGCGGUGAAAUGCGUAGAGAUCUGAAGGAAUACCAGUGGCGAAGGCGGCCCCCUGGACAAAGACUGACGCUCAGAUGCGAAAGCGUGGGGAGGCAAACAGGAUUAGAUACCCUGGUA